GUUAGACUUUUCUGUAAUUUCUACAGUUAUUUACCAUUUAUCAACCAGUAUAAUACUGUAAAUUCUCUUUACAGUUUAUAACUGUAAUUCCCUUUGCAUCAUGGGAAUUUUCUGUGACAUUAAACACCAAAUACAGUGAUUUGCUGUAUUUUUUAAAAAUAAAGUAUAAUACUGUAUUUACCACAACGGACUAUUUGGCGCUAUUUGGAUCGUCAGGAUUUGCUUUACGAUUUAGAUUAGGAACCAUCAAGUGCAGGGUUGAAGUUUUGCCCGAGGAGAGUGAUCAGCUGACGAUGCCGGAGAACAUAAUAAGAGCUGCGUCCAAGGACAGACACCUUGCGAAGAUUUUUUCAUCCCCGUGAGUAAGGAAGAGGAAGAACAGCAAACAAGCAAGCUACAAUAAAGGCAUCCAUCGAGAAAGACAUGAGCCUUCCAGCCACACCAAGACUCAUAAUGCUUGGUCACAAUUUUUCUCUUCCACAAAGUGGAUGGUAAGCAUUGAGGGAAAGGUGGCCUAUGUUUUGGAUGAGCACCUGGGAUGUGCAGAUGCCUUUCUGUAUUCUUCAUCUUCUUCUACGUUUUCAACAUUGAAUACAAGGGGAGACUGCCUGUGCAACACUGGAACUCAUAAAACAGUAAGUACAUCUUCAUUUCUCCACACUUUGUUUUGUUCUGUUAAAUCAAAGUUUAACAUGUUUAGUUGUCUGUUUAACUAAAUCCCAAAAUUAUAUAGGUUUUUACUUUCUUGUAGCUGUAACUAGCCAGGUACCAUUAUAUUUCAUCUGCCAAAAUAAACUACAAAAUAAAAAAUUCCAGAAGAUAAAAUUAUCUUGAGGAAUUUAAGUCCUGGACAAACAACAUUUUUGGAUUGUUUUGGCAGA